GUUAAAGUGUGUUUAUUGGAAGGAGUAUAUACUGUUUGAAAUAAAGGGAAAAUUAUGGGAUAUUUCGAAAAAAAAAGAGUUAUGAGCUUAUUUAAAGAACUCGGCGAAAGUAAAUUUCAGAACUGUCAAAAGUGCUAUUAUUGUGUAAGGUUCAAGUUAAGCUUAGCAAAAUUAAUACUGGACUAUAUUGAAGCUGAUUUCUUUCAUUUUAUUCGUGGAAAGAUACAAAGAAAGGAUAAUUUUCAAAUUAAAGACAAUUUUCUAUUAAAAAUUUUGAAAAAAGGAAAUAUGGAUUGUACUUUAUUAAACCCAAAUGGAUUGUUGAAUAAAAUUUAUGUGG